AGAGUUUGAUCCUGGCUCAGGACGAACGCUGGCGGCGUGCUUAACACAUGCAAGUCGAACGAGAAGAGAUGAGAAGCUUGCUUCUUAUCGAUUCGAGUGGCAAACGGGUGAGUAACGCGUAAGCAACCUGCCCUCUAGAUGGGGACAACAGCUGGAAACGGCUGCUAAUACCGAAUACGUUCUUUCUGUCGCAUGGCAGAAGGAAGAAAGGGAGGCUCUUCGGAGCUUUCGCUGGAGGAGGGGCUUGCGUCUGAUUAGCUAGUUGGAGGGGUAACGGCCCACCAAGACGACGAUCGGUAGCCGGCCUGAGAGGGCGGACGGCCACAUUGGAACUGAGACACGGUCCAGACUCCUACGGGAGGCAGCAGUGGGGAAUCUUCCGCAAUGGACGAAGGUCUGACGGAGCAACGCCGCGUGAACGAUGACGGCCUUCGGGUUGUAAAGUUCUGUUAUACGGGACGAAUGGUACGACGGCCAAUACCCGUCGUAAGUGACGGUACCGUAAGAGAAAGCCACGGCUAACUACGUGCCAGCAGCCGCGGUAAUACGUAGGUGGCAAGCGUUGUCCGGAAUUAUUGGGCGUAAAGGGCGCGCNNCGGCGUCGUAAGUCGGUCNUAAAAGUGCGGGGCUUAACCNCGUGAGGGGACCGAAACUGCGAUGCUAGAGNAUCGGANAGGAAAGCNGANUCCUAGNGUAGCGGUGAAAUGCGUAGAUA
rnacentral:rRNA from 1 species